rnacentral:rRNA from 1 species
CCUACGGGAGGCAGCAGUGGGGGAUAUUGCACAAUGGGGGAAACCCUGAUGCAGCGACGCCGCGUGGGUGAAGAAGCGCCUCGGCGCGUAAAGCCCUGUCAGCAGGGAAGAAAAUGACGGUACCUGAAGAAGAAGCCCCGGCUAACUACGUGCCAGCAGCCGCGGUAAUACGUAGGGGGCAAGCGUUAUCCGGAUUUACUGGGUGUAAAGGGGGCGCAGACGGCGAUGCAAGCCAGGAGGGAAAGCCCGGGGCCCAACCCCGGGACUGCUCUUGGAACUGCGUGGCUAGAGUGCAGGAGGGGCAGGCGGAAGGCCUGGUGUAGCGGUGAAAUGCGUAGAUAUCAGGAGGAACACCGGUGGCGAAGGCGGCCUGCUGGACUGCAACUGACGUUGAGGCCCGAAAGCGUGGGGAGCAAACAGGAUUAGAUACCCCGGUAGUC